AUACAAUCGAUGAGCGGGAGAGUAAUUACCCUUGAUCUAGUCCUCAGCGAGCCGGAAGAGUGAAAGCCGGUACAGAUCAAAGUAAUGAAGCGCACCCGGGAGAUGGACUUCUGAACAGAUUAGUAGGAAGCCCCGGCUGAAGGCCGUUAUUCUGUAAAGUGGCUAGACUUGCCCGUCUAGCAACGAGAGUGGUACCGCGAGCGCUAAAGCCCUCGUCUCUUUU
rnacentral:ncRNA from 1 species